GACGAACGCUGGCGGCGUGCCUAAUACAUGCAAGUUGAGCGCUGAAGGUUGGUACUUGUACCAACUGGAUGAGCAGCGAACGGGUGAGUAACACGUGGGGAAUCUGCCUUUGAGCGGGGGACAACAUUUGGAAACGAAUGCUAAUACCGCAUAAAAACUUUAAACACAAGUUUUAAGUUUGAAAGAUGCAAUUGCAUCACUCAAAGAUGAUCCCGCGUUGUAUUAGCUAGUUGGUGAGGUAAAGGCUCACCAAGGCGAUGAUACAUAGCCGACCUGAGAGGGUGAUCGGCCACAUUGGGACUGAGACACGGCCCAAACUCCUACGGGAGGCAGCAGUAGGGAAUCUUCGGCAAUGGACGAAAGUCUGACCGAGCAACGCCGCGUGAGUGAAGAAGGUUUUCGGAUCGUAAAACUCUGUUGGUGGAGAAGAACGUUGGUGAGAGUGGAAAGCUCAUCAAGUGACGGUAACUACCCAGAAAGGGACGGCUAACUACGUG
rnacentral:rRNA from 1 species